AAUGCCCUCUAUAAGUAUGCCCCUCCCACUACAAUACAGGGGAUCAGCAUCCAAGGACAGGAAGAAUCGGCAUCCAACACCCAAUCGAUCUCUUGAUCGUCCAUC